GACGAACGCUGGCAGCGUGCCUAAUACAUGCAAGUUGAGCGCUGAAGGUUGGUACUUGUACCAACUGGAUGAGCAGCGAACGGGUGAGUAACGCGUGGGGAAUCUGCCUUUGAGCGGGGGACAACAUUUGGAAACGAAUGCUAAUACCGCAUAAAAACUUUAAACACAAGUUUUAAGUUUGAAAGAUGCAAUUGCAUCACUCAAAGAUGAUCCCGCGUUGUAUUAGCUAGUUGGUGAGGUAAAGGCUCACCAAGGCGAUGAUACAUAGCCGACCUGAGAGGGUGAUCGGCCACAUUGGGACUGAGACACGGCCCAAACUCCUACGGGAGGCAGCAGUAGGGAAUCUUCGGCAAUGGACGAAAGUCUGACCGAGCAACGCCGCGUGAGUGAAGAAGGUUUUCGGAUCGUAAAACUCUGUUGGUAGAGAAGAACGUUGGUGAGAGUGGAAAGCUCAUCAAGUGACGGUAACUACCCAGAAAGGGACGGCUAACUACGUGCCAGCAGCCGCGGUAAUACGUAGGUCCCGAGCGUUGUCCGGAUUUAUUGGGCGUAAAGCGAGCGCAGGUGGUUUAUUAAGUCUGGUGUAAAAGGCAGUGGCUCAACCAUUGUAUGCAUUGGAAACUGGUAGACUUGAGUGCAGGAGAGGAGAGCGGAAUUCCAUGUGUAGCGGUGAAAUGCGUAGAUAUAUGGAGGAACACCGGUGGCGAAAGCGGCUCUCUGGCCUGUAACUGACACUGAGGCUCGAAAGCGUGGGGAGCAAACAGG
rnacentral:rRNA from 1 species